UACGUAGGGGGCAAGCGUUGUCCGGAUUCAUUGGGCGUAAAGGGUGCGUAGGCGGGUCUUUAAGUCAGAGGGGAAAUCCUGGAGCUCAACUCCAGAACUGCCUUUGAUACUGAAGAUCUUGAGUUCGGGAGAGGUGAGUGGAACUGCGAGUGUAGAGGUGAAAUUCGUAGAUAUUCGCAAGAACACCAGUGGCGAAGGCGGCUCACUGGCCCGAUACUGACGCUGAGGCACGAAAGCGUGGGGAGCAAACAGG
rnacentral:rRNA from 1 species